rnacentral:lncRNA from 1 species
UGGUUGAUGCAAAGUUAUAUAUUUCUAAUAAUUAAGGGGGUCUUUCAGGAAUCUGACCUUAUCAUAUGGUGAAGCAUGAUAAAUGAAGGAUAUCUGAUUACAUUUAAUGGCUUCUUGGUGUUAAAGAUAAAAACAUGUGGACAGUGCUUUACAUUUUAUUAAUGGGAUAAUUUGCCAGUUUUAUGACUACUGACCUCAACUGACCUCCACUGAUGUUAAUGAUAUUAGUGAUAAGAAAUGGUUUUUAAAUAGGGACAUUGAAAAGUUUUACAUUAUAAACAUUUGACAAUUUAUAAAAAACAAUACUGCAAAAUCAGAAAUUAAUGCAAUGU